rnacentral:lncRNA from 1 species
CUAAGGAAGAAAGGGAAAAUGGGUCACAGGCAGGGCUAGUGGAGGAUAAGUGGGCCCACAUGCGAGGCUGUGGGACGGGAGGGAAAGUGGUCACAGGCAGGGCGAGUGGGAGGGAAAGUGGUCACAGGCAGAGCUAGGCCAUUGGGAGGGAAGGGAAAGUGGUCACAGGCAGAGCUAGGCUAUUGAGAGGGAAGGGAAAAGUGGACACAGGCAGAGCUAGGCUAGUGGGAGGGGAGGGAAAGUGGUCACACAGGCAGGGCUAGUGGGAGGAGGAGGGGAAAGUGUCACAGGCAGGGCUAGUGGGAGGAAGGGAAGGG